rnacentral:rRNA from 1 species
UACGUAGGGAGCAAGCGUUGUCCGGAAUCAUUGGGCGUAAAGCGCGCGUAGGCGGCCUCGUAAGUCCGCUGUAAAAGUCACAGGCUCAACCUGUGAACGCCGGUGGAUACUGUGAGGCUAGAGUCCGGAAGAGGCGAGUGGAAUUCCUAGUGUAGAGGUGAAAUUCGUAGAUAUUAGGAAGAACACCGGUGGCGAAGGCGGCCCACUGGAUCGGUACUGACGCUGAGGUGCGAAAGCGUGGGGAGCAAACAGG